rnacentral:rRNA from 1 species
UACAGAGGGGGCAAGCGUUGUUCGGAAUUACUGGGCGUAAAGGGCGCGUAGGCGCCUUCUAAGUCGAACGUGAAAUCCCCGGGCUCAACCCGGGAACUGCGUCCGAUACUGGAAGGCUUGAAUCCGGGAGAGGGAUGUGGAAUUCCAGGUGUAGCGGUGAAAUGCGUAGAUAUCUGGAGGAACACCAAUUGCGAAGGCAGCUCGCUGGGACGUUACUGACGCUGAGACGCGAAAGCGUGGGGAGCAAACAGGG